rnacentral:rRNA from 1 species
UACAGAGGUCCCAAGCGUUAUCCGGAUUCACUGGGUUUAAAGGGUGCGUAGGCGGGCAUUUAAGUCAGUGGUGAAAUACCUGAGCUUAACUUGGGAACUGCCAUUGAUACUAUUUGUCUUGAAUGUCGUGGAGGUUAGCGGAAUAUGUCAUGUAGCGGUGAAAUGCUUAGAUAUGACAUAGAACACCUAUUGCGAAGGCAGCUAACUACGCGAAUAUUGACGCUGAGGCGCGAAAGCGUGGGGAUCAAACAGG